ACUGAGUAGUAGUAGUUAUGAUCUUGAAACUUAAAAAAUUUGGCGGUAUUUUAGUCUAUUCAGAGGAACCUGUUCUAUAAUCGAUAUUCCACGUUGGACCUUUCUUUUCCUUGCUUUUAGUUUAUAUACCGUCGUUAUCAGAGAAUCUUAAAAGAGAAAUAAUUCUCAAUUAAUUUUAUAAAAUUAUAUAUCAGAUCAAGGUGUAGCUUAUGGGAAAGUAGAAAUGGGUUACAAUAAAAUUAUUUAAAUGGAUAUAAAAAUGAAACUUUUAUUGAAAGUGGAUUUGAUAGUAAAGUUAUAAAGAUAAAUAACUUGAUUUUAGCUCUAAAAUAUGCACACAUCGCCCGUCGCUCUUAUUACUAAGAUAAGAUAAGUCGUAACACAGUAGAUGUACCGGAAGGUGUAUCUAGAAUGACAGUUUAAAGCUUAUAAGUAAAGUACUUCAUUUACAUUGAAGUGAAUUUUGUGCAAUUCAUUAUAAACUGGUAAAGUUUUAUUUGUAGAUAUUUUUAUCGAUAAUUUAUUUUAUUAAAAAUAAUUUUAUAAAAAGGAUUUUUAGUAUUGUAUAAAGAAAAAAUAAAUUAAACUAUAGUGAAUUAGUAUUGUAAAAGAACAUUGAAAUA
rnacentral:rRNA from 1 species